GGGUGGCAACAAAUGUUACAAAAGAAAACGAAGGUGCUGAUUGGCCCAAGAGUCGCUAUGGCAACCGGGUGGCAACAACUGUUACAAAAGAAAACGGAGGUGCUGAUUGGCCGAAAAAAGGCGCUACGGCAACCGGGUGGCAACAAAUGUUACAAAAGAAAACGGAGGUGCUGAUUGGCCGAAGAGGC